rnacentral:rRNA from 2 species
GGUUAAGUUAAUAAGGGCGCACGGUGGAUGCCUUGGCACUAGAAGCCGAAGAAGGACGUGACUAACGACGAAAUGCUUUGGGGAGCUGUAAGUAAGCGCUGAUCCAGAGAUGUCCGAAUGGGGGAACCCACUAGUUAAUGACUAGUAUCCAUAUCUGUUAAGGAUAUGAGAAGGAAGACGCAGUGAACUGAAACAUCUAAGUAGCUGCAGGAAGAGAAAGCAAAAGCGAUUGCCUUAGUAGCGGCGAGCGAAACGGCAGGAGGGCAAACCGAAGUGUUUACACUUCGGGGUUGUAGGACUGCGAUAUAGGAUUAAUCAUUAUAGAAGAAUUACCUGGGAAGGUAAGCCAAAGAGAGUAACAGCCUCGUAUUUAAAAUGAUAGAUUAACCUUAGCAGUAUCCUGAGUACGGCGAGACACGCGAAAUCUCGUCGGAAUCUGGGAGGACCAUCUCCCAACCCUAAAUACUCUCUAGUGACCGAUAGUGAACCAGUACCGUGAGGGAAAGGUGAAAAGCACCCCGGGAGGGGAGUGAAAUAGAACCUGAAACCGUGUGCCUACAACAAGUUCGAGCCCGUUAAUGGGUGAGAGCGUGCCUUUUGUAGAAUGAACCGGCGAGUUACGAUAUGAUGCGAGGUUAAGUUGAAGAGACGGAGCCGUAGGGAAACCGAGUCUUAAUAGGGCGUCAUAGUAUCAUGUUGUAGACCCGAAACCAUGUGACCUACCCAUGAGCAGGUUGAAGGUGAGGUAAAACUCACUGGAGGACCGAACCAGGGCACGUUGAAAAGUGCUUGGAUGACUUGUGGGUAGCGGAGAAAUUCCAAACGAACUUGGAGAUAGCUGGUUCUCUCCGAAAUAGCUUUAGGGCUAGCGUCGAUGUUAAGUCUCUUGGAGGUAGAGCACUGUUUGGGUGAGGGGUCCAUCCCGGAUUACCAAUCUCAGAUAAACUCCGAAUGCCAACGAGAUAUAAUCGGCAGUCAGACUGCGAGUGCUAAGAUCCGUAGUCGAAAGGGAAACAGCCCAGACCACCAGCUAAGGUCCCAAAAUAUAUGUUAAGUGGAAAAGGAUGUGGGGUUGCACAGACAACUAGG